AUAACAUUUUCUGGGCGAUAAGGGGAGCUAUUGCCAAUUAUAUGAAACUGUAAGUAUUAUUUCUGGUUUUUUAUUAUUUUACUUUAAGUUCUGGGAUACAUGUGCAGAACGUGCAGGUUUGUUACAUAGGUAUACAUGUGCCAGGGUGGUUUGCUGCACCUAUCAACUCAUCAUCUAGGUUUUAAGACCUGCAUGCAUUAGAUAUUUGUCUCAAUGCUCUUCCUCCCCUUGCCCCCCGACCCCCGACAGGCCCCAGUGUGUGAUGUUC
rnacentral:lncRNA from 1 species